CCUACGGGAGGCAGCAGUGGGGAAUCUUAGACAAUGGGCGCAAGCCUGAUCUAGCCAUGCCGCGUGAGUGACGAAGGCCUUAGGGUCGUAAAGCUCUUUCGCCAGAGAUGAUAAUGACAGUAUCUGGUAAAGAAACCCCGGCUAACUCCGUGCCAGCAGCCGCGGUAAU
rnacentral:rRNA from 1 species